GGAUGUGAGGGCGAUCUGGCUGAGACAUCUGUCACCCCAUUGAUCGCCAGGGUUGAUUCGGCUGAUCUGGCUGGCUAGGCGGGUGUCCCCUUCCUCCCUCACCGCUCCAUGUGCGUCCCUCCCGAAGCUGCACGCUCGGUUGAAGAGGAUGACCUUCCCCGAACAGAGGAGGACCUGUCUUGGGUCAAGGGUAUACGAGUAGCUGCGCUCCCCUGCUAGAACCUCCAAACAAGCUCUCAAGGAGAUCAAGAUGUCACCUCAGUAUAUGAUCUCAACACCCACUGAUGAGAAAUAAUCGUUCAGC
ensembl:misc_RNA 7SK 7SK RNA